rnacentral:rRNA from 1 species
AUACGGAGGGUGCAAGCGUUGUCCGGAAUUAUUGGGUUUAAAGGGUGCGCAGGCGGGCCCGUAAGUCAGUGGUGAAAUCUCUCAGCUCAACUGGGAAACUGCCAUUGAUACUGCGAAGCUUGAAUAAGGUUGAGGUAGGCGGAAUGUGACAUGUAGCGGUGAAAUGCUUAGAUAUGUCAUAGAACACCGAUUGCGAAGGCAGCUUACUGGGCCUGAAUUGACGCUGAGGCACGAAAGCGUGGGGAUC